AUCUCAACAACGUCUGAUUCUCAGCUGACAUGUCAUGACAACACUCAACAGAUACAGACCCUGCCUUAGGAGGCCCAUCUAAAGAUCAUUGCAAGAAGGACAAAUAUCACAGCAGGAGGGAAGAGCACGAACAACCUGGAAUGAAGAAAGCUAGGCAGCCUGUUGUGAACCCACCAGGCACCUCAGAUGAUAUCGAGACUUCCUUUGGAGGCUCAUCUCAAGGGAAUCACGAAAAUUCUGCUGAAAAAAAUCUGGACGAUGCUAAAAGGAAGCAGAAACGAACCUGGUCUUCAACUGAAAUUGCAGCAGUACAGAGGCACUUCCGCGACCACAUAGCAGGGGGUAAACUCACCACUAAAAUUGAAUGCCAGCAGUGCAAGAAUGCUGAGUAUCCAGUUUUGGCUACUCACACACUCCAAAACAUUAGGGAUUUUGUUAGGAAUCGCGGCUUAACCCUAAAAAAGAAACCAUCU